rnacentral:tRNA from 1 species
CGGGACGUAGUUUAAUGGUAAAACAUUUGCCUGAUAAGCAAAAGAGUGUGAGUUCAAAUCUCGCCGUUCCGACCA